rnacentral:rRNA from 1 species
UGAGUAAUGUCUGGGAAACUGCCUGAUGGAGGGGGAUAACUACUGGAAACGGUAGCUAAUACCGCAUAACGUCGCAAGACCAAAGAGGGGGACCUUCGGGCCUCUUGCCAUCGGAUGUGCCCAGAUGGGAUUAGCUAGUAGGUGGGGUAACGGCUCACCUAGGCGACGAUCCCUAGCUGGUCUGAGAGGAUGACCAGCCACACUGGAACUGAGACACGGUCCACACUCCUACGGGAGGCAGCAGUGGGGAAUAUUGCACAAUGGGCGCAAGCCUGAUGCAUCCAUGCCGCGUGUAUGAAGAAGGCCUUCGGGUUGUAAAGUACUUUCAUCGAGGAGGAAGGUGUUGA